GUCACAUUUCCACUGGGUGAGGGUUCCAUCUUGGAAAGGGAACCUGUGUUUUUGCCAGAAGAGCUGGCAGAACUCACUCCGGUGGAGCCAAUAUGUGGGAUUACUCGCAAACCUGACCCAAACUGCAUCAUUAGAAGUAAAAGCAGCUGCCGUUUUAAGCUACGUGGUUACAUGGGAAUAGUGCUGUUCAAAUUGAGCCAUGUGCUACAGCAAUUAAUGUUAAUGGGAAACCGCACAGCAGGUAAGCAAGAUGGCACCUUUCGAUGGGAGAGAAGCUAACACCAGCCCAGAACAAGACUGUGAUCUAAAAGAGCAUGCCUCCAAGAGACAACAGCCAACAGAACAAAACAAGAUACAAUAAGACAAAGUUCUCCUAUCAAAACUGGACCAGGCUACCCAACAGGAAGAAUAGAUUCUCAAGAGUAGGCAAAAGAGUCAGAGACAUACCUGAUCCCAUUGGUCAGCAGAUUCUCCAUGGUAACCUCUCCUGUCACCCUAACUGAGGAAGCAGCUCUGAAUUCACUGGUACUGUCUUGAUUGUAGGGUGUUUGACUAUCCUCCUUCUCAGCUGGGUGGAGUUAAAAUGCCAUCAGUGGCCAGCUUCCAGAAGAGCCGCCCACACAGGAAAGACAUCAGCCCCUCCAAGACCCCAACCCCAGG